rnacentral:rRNA from 1 species
UACGUAGGGUGCGAGCGUUGUCCGGAAUUACUGGGCGUAAAGCGCGCGUAGGCGGCUCGAUCAGUCGGGUGUGAAAUCCCUGGGCUCAACCUGGGAACUGCAUUCGAUACUGUCGAGCUAGAGUGUGGGAGAGGGUAGUGGAAUUCCCGGUGUAGCGGUGAAAUGCGUAGAUAUCGGGAGGAACAUCAGUGGCGAAGGCGACUGCCUGGCCCAACACUGACGCUGAGGUGCGAAAGCGUGGGUAGCAAACAGG